GACGAACGCUGGCGGCGUGCCUAAUACAUGCAAGUAGAACGCACAGUUUAUACCGUAGCUUGCUACACCAUAGACUGUGAGUUGCGAACGGGUGAGUAACGCGUAGGUAACCUGCCUGGUAGCGGGGGAUAACUAUUGGAAACGAUAGCUAAUACCGCAUAAUAUUGAUUAUUGCAUGAUAAUUGAUUGAAAGAUGCUAUUGCAUCACUACCAGAAGGACCUGCGUUGUAUUAGCUAGUAGGUGAGGUAACGGCUCACCUAGGCGACGAUACAUAGCCGACCUGAGAGGGUGAUCGGCCACACUGGGACUGAGACACGGCCCAGACUCCUACGGGAGGCAGCAGUAGGGAAUCUUCGGCAAUGGACGAAAGUCUGACCGAGCAACGCCGCGUGAGUGAAGAAGGUUUUCGGAUCGUAAAGCUCUGUUGUAAGAGAAGAACGGGUGUGAGAGUGGAAAGUUCACACUGUGACGGUAGCUUACCAGAAAGGGACGGCUAACUACGUG
rnacentral:rRNA from 1 species